rnacentral:rRNA from 1 species
GGUGUAAGUGCAGUAAUGUAUUUAGCUAAGUAAUACUAAUAACCCGUUUGGCUUGAUCAUUUA